UUUUACUUUAUUUAAAGCUUAUUGUAUAUUAUCCCGAAGUUUCAUUCCAUAAAAAACAGAAAUGAGGAAAUUCGAUAUUUCGUGUACCAUCAGCAUCCAAAUUUUCAAGUAUACAGAAAUUUAACUUUCCGGAAUAUAACGGAAAUUUUCGGGUAUCUCCGUGGUACCAUCUCCGUGCAAUUAUGCAGUAUGGCGUUCAUCUCUUACAGAAAGAGAAUGGUAACUUGUGUCAUGGAAAGCUGGAACUUUUCAGUACACAACAUGCAAACUGAGAAUGAACUGUGUGUGCCGGCUUUGUGAACAAAAACGCAAGGCGGCUAUGAUACACUGUGUUGUGUGUGGAUAAGAAAUGCAGAGUGGUACCACCAAUUACCUAAGCCACCAUUCCCCUAACAGACAAAAGGCUCAUGGGGACAGUUCCUGCAGUUUACAGCAAAUUGUAGCCCUACAAACUUCAGAUACUGCCAAGCUUGGGUGCACUGGGCCGGUUAUCCAGCCGUGUGGAAUCAACAUCUCCAGCUGAACUUGGGCCGGGAAUUAUAUAAGAAUCCUUAGCAGCAUGAGUGCCAGCCAGUCAUUGCUGUUCUUUGCAUUGCUGAGGAGGACAGUCCUGCCAACAUAACAGUUUGUUCAAUAACAGGAGACAAACAGAAACACAGAGGUGCUAUACAUUCCGAUGGAAAAUACAACAAAAGCAUCUCCCAUCAUUUUGGCGUGGCUCAGAUCAAGAGGAGAAUUUUAAGAAAGGUGAUGGUUGGGCACACACAAGAAGACAUAGAUCACAUGUGUCCAGGCAUAUGAGUAGACAGGAGUUUCACACUCUGCCAAACUUACUUCAUCAGAGGAGCAGAAAGCUUCUCAAGAUCCCGCACUGCACACUUAGAUAUAGUCUUUGACUACAACAAGGGGAUGAAAGUACAGAGAGGUCCAAUUGAAAUCAAUUCUGUGCUGCGUCAUUUCUUCAUUCUGGAAGUCGAUGGACAUGAUUUAUCAUGGCAUCAGGUGUGCAGUUUGUCGACUAUCAGCAGUCUUGUUCACCAGUUGUGCAACUUGAGCUGGUAGCUUUAUUGCUUGAAGCCACAGCAUAAGAGGGGGAAGGUGCAGGCUCAUCAAAAAGUCUCAAAAGUUGAAACUAGGAAAAGAAGUUUGUCAAGAGUGUGAAUAUUUGCUUUGAAAACCAUCGUUACGAUGAUUUGGUUUCCUUUGAAACUUGAUACAUACUAUGUGUAUGUUGAAUGAAUUGAGAUGCUUAAAUAAAGAACCGCUAUUCAAAUAUCAGGAAACUGCAUUUUUCAUACUAAAGGGUAAAUGAUGUCGCCAUUUCCUGUAUGUAUUUAAAUGAGAUAUGUUUCCACAAUUAAUAUUUUUAGGGAAUUUUUCUCAUCCUAAUGAAUGAGAUUAAAUUGUACAGCGUUAUAUGAGCUUAAUAUGUGUUUUCUGUUUCUUUAAAAUUGGUGAAAAAUUGUCAGAAGAUAAUUAGACCAUUAUCCAUUACUGCAAUCAUACAAUCAAAUAUACAGGGACAAACCCACUGGGCAUAUAAUAUAAUUAAACCCUGUUCAGGGGCACGAGGCAAACAGAGUUACUUUCAAACGUUAAAGCUGCACUCUCACAUUUUGGACGUUUUGACAACUUUUCUCAUUUUAUGUCUUGGAUUGGAACCAUCCAAUUUUUGCGAAAAAUUAAAUGGCAGAUUUUUCUAUUUAAGUUAAAACAUUGAUGUUUUAUGCACUUUUCUUAAACCGUUAGUAACAUUAAUUUUCGAACGGAAAUAUGAAAUCUGUGAUCUGAUCUUUUGUCAGCAAUCUUUUAUCAUUGGUUUGCAGAUAAUUAC